rnacentral:lncRNA from 1 species
ACGGCCGCUCAGGGAGCUGAGGGUAUAGCGUUUUCGCCUUAGACUUUCUUGGGUGCAGGCCCACACCACCUCAGCAGCCUGCCCGGCAGUCCUCUUUUCCCAGGUUUUGGCGUUUAGACAACCCACCUGAGUCCUCAGCCUUGUCCCACACAGCAAGGUACAAGGGACCGGACGUCUGCCUCCUCAGCAGCGCAGCGCACAAGCUUCCUGUCAUCCCGGCGCCCACGAUCAGCACCUGCGCCAUGGCGAGAGGGAGCAGCGAUCCGCGCUGAGUCUCUGCGGCGGGGCCGUUCGGCCCGGGCUUUCUGGAAAGGCGGCCGAACCGGCGCUAGCGCUCUUUGGUUCCGUGCUCCCUGGGCCGACCUGGGCCCUGAGCUUUCCUCCGGCCGGCCUGCAGGGGGCGGAAAGGAGGCGGCCGGAGCUGAGAGGCCCCUCCGUCCUUGAGGAGCAAACCUGGGGCUGCGGAGAACCGGGGCUGUCUGUCUUCUCGCUUUGGGGGCCGGGCGCCCUGCCCCUCGCCCAGAAAAGCCUGGAAAUGGUGUGGGCUAUUGUUGGGAGAACCCGCCUCGCAACAGAGCUGACGUUGACCACAGCAGAGAAGCAGCUUAACCUAUCUACUGCGAUAACUCUCAUGCCUGUUGGGAUUUUUGCUGUUUUACUAUUCUAGAUUUGAAAGUGGGAAGAAGAAUUUACCAGCGAUACCACGGGCAACCUUUCCUCUAAUGCUUGAACGGCCACUAUUAGCAUAAUAGAAACAUCUUUUGGAAUCUGGGAGACAUUUUUCUUAGACCUGGGACUUUGUGUAACCUUCCUGAAC